UACGUAGGGUGCGAGCGUUGUCCGGAUUCAUUGGGCGUAAAGGGUGCGUAGGCGGCGCGGUAAGUCGGGUGUGAAAUCUCGGAGCUUAACUCCGAAACUGCAUUCGAUACUGCCGUGCUUGAGGACUGGAGAGGAGACUGGAAUUUACGGUGUAGCGGUGAAAUGCGUAGAUAUCGUAAGGAAGACCAGUGGCGAAGGCGGGUCUCUGGACAGUUCCUGACACUGAGACACGAAGGCCCAGGGGGAGCAAACGGG
rnacentral:rRNA from 1 species